rnacentral:rRNA from 1 species
UGGGGAAUCUUCCGCAAUGGACGAAAGUCUGACGGAGCAACGCCGCGUGAGUGAUGACGGCCUUCGGGUUGUAAAGCUCUGUUAAUCGGGACGAAAGGUCUUCUUGCGAAUAGUUAGAAGAAUUGACGGUACCGGAAUAGAAAGCCACGGCUAACUGCGUGCCAGCAGCCGCGGUAAUACGUAGGUGGCAAGCGUUGUCCGGAAUUAUUGGGCGUAAAGCGCGCGCAGGCGGAUUGGUCAGUCUGUCUUAAAAGUUCGGGGCUUAACCCCGUGAUGGGAUGGAAACUGCCAAUCUAGAGUAUCGGAGAGGAAAGUGGAAUUCCUAGUGUAGCGGUGAAAUGCGUAGAUAUUAGGAAGAACACCAGUGGCGAAGGUGACUUUCUGGACGAAAACUGACGCUGAGGCGCGAAAGCCAGGGGAGCGAACGGGAUUAGAUACCCCGGUAGUCCUGGCCGUAAACGAUGGGUACUAGGUGUAGGAGGUAUCGACCCCUUCUGUGCCGGAGUUAACGCAAUAAGUACCCCGCCUGGGGAGUACGACCGCAAGGUUG